rnacentral:ncRNA from 1 species
AAAAACAAAGAUAGAAACGCAACGUAUGCAGAAAUGUAUACUAGAGCCGGUAGGUAGCCCGGCCGUCCUGAUUAUCAGGGUAAGUAACCUGCCCCUCCGGGUUGUCCGUUCUUUGUUCAUUUCAA